AUUGAACGCUGGCGGCAUGCCUUACACAUGCAAGUCGAACGGCAGCACGGGUGCUUGCACCUGGUGGCGAGUGGCGAACGGGUGAGUAAUAUAUCGGAACGUACCUUAUCGUGGGGGAUAACGCAGCGAAAGCUAUGCUAAUACCGCAUAAGCCCUAAGGGGGAAAGCAGGGGACCGUAAGGCCUUGCGCGAUUAGAGCGGCCGAUACCUGAUUAGCUAGUUGGUGAGGUAAAGGCUCACCAAGGCAACGAUCAGUAGCUGGUCUGAGAGGACGAUCGGCCACACUGGGGCUGAGACACGGCCCAGACUCCUACGGGAGGCAGCAGUGGGGAAUUUUGGACAAUGGGGGCAACCCUGAUCCAGCAAUGCCGCGUGAGUGAAGAAGGCCUUCGGGUUGUAAAGCUCUUUUGUCAGGGAAGAAACAGCAGCUCUAAUACAGUAUGCGAAUGACGGUACCUGAAGAAUAAGCACCGGCUAACUACGUGCCAGCCGCCGCCGUAA
rnacentral:rRNA from 1 species